rnacentral:rRNA from 1 species
CCUACGGGUGGCAGCAGUGGGGGAUAUUGCACAAUGGGGGGAACCCUGAUGCAGCGACGCCGCGUGGGUGAAGAAGCGCCUCGGCGCGUAAAGCCCUGUCAGCAGGGAAGAAAAUGACGGUACCUGAAGAAGAAGCCCCGGCUAACUACGUGCCAGCAGCCGCGGUAAUACGUAGGGGGCAAGCGUUAUCCGGAUUUAUUGGGUUUAAAGGGUGCGCAGGCGGCCUGUUAAGUCAGCGGUAAAAGCCCUCGCUCAACGUGGGAACUGCCUUUGAAACUGGCAAACUGGAGUUUGUGAGAGGAUAGUGGAAUUCCAGGUGUAGUAGUGAAAUCCGUAGAUAUCUGGCGGAACAUCAGUGGCGAAGGCGACUAUCUGGCACAUAACUGACGCUGAGGAGCGAAAGCGUGGGUAGCAAACAGGAUUAGAUACCCCUGUAGUC